GCCUUCAUAGCUCAGUGGUAGAGCACCCCCUUGGUAAGGGGGAGGUCAUGGGUUCAAGCCCCAUUGAAGGCU
rnacentral:tRNA from 1 species